AAGAACUCAUCGGAAAACCCCUCCCCCUUCUCGUCCCUCAGUCCCAUGAACACUGAUAACAGGUCUGAUCUCUGCUUCCCUCCAUCAAGCUCAAGCUCCUUCUUCCUCGCCCGAAUCACCUCCUUUGCAAAGUCGUCCACUCCCUGUAUUGACUUCUUGAGUGACCCUUCACUUCCAAUUUCGAAAUGCCUCAUUAGUUUCCAGACCAGAGUUGGGGUCACAAAUCGCAUAAUUGUGGCCUCUGUUGCAGCUUCAAACGCCCUGGCGAAGGGAAUAUCAGGCAGGCCUGGUCUCAGGCAGCCUGGAUCGACACCAAAGGCGAUUAUGCAGACGUUGUCGAAGGUUAGUCUUAAAAGGAUGUCCUGUAGAUCCAUCCAGGUUGAUUCCCUGAUGGAAUCCUCUAGAACAGGCAGGAGACGAUUAUGCACCAACUCCAAGAUGGAAUUGAUUGUCAUCUGCCUGAAUUUUCCGGAAUGGAAUUCCAGACUUGCUGUCUUUCUCUGCCUGUGCCAAAUAUCAUCAUCUGCGCUGAAAAUUCCAUCUCCAAGGAGGUCCCUGACUGUGUCCCGGAAGUACUCUCCUUUCGGGAAGUUUGAAAACCUUGUUUUGAGAAGGUACUCUAGGUUUCGAGGGUCAGAGGUCACCACACAAUUCAAGUUCGAAAACCAGGGUCCUUUAAAGGUGAAGGUUCCGUUCUGACGGCACAGGAUGUUGGAAAUCCAUUCGUAGAUGUUGCUCUGGAGGCCGAGGAAGAGGGAAGGCAGCAUCCCGACAAGGGGCCAGUUGGGGAGGCCCUGGCGAUUCUUCUGGCGGAGAGAAUGGAUGGUUAUGAAUACCAGGAUGGCAGUGAGAAGUUCAAACAUUUGGAUUUCAGAGAUGAAUGAGAGGAGACUGGUGGCUCCAUGUGAAACUGCAGCAGUAGAGGUGUUGUUUGGAGUCAAAGAAGAGGAAGCAUACAUGGUUUUGAAAUGAUGGUGGUGAUAAUGAUUAUGAAAAACAGAUUCAGGGAAAUGGGAAUUUGGUGAUGGGGCAGUCAUGUCUGUGUUAUAAGGGAUGGAAGAAUUGGUUUCUUGGCGUGGAUGAGUUUGUGCAUUGGUUUGAUUUGGUGAGCUGAAAGACAGGCUGCUUUUGCAUGCUAUAUAUGCAUAUGUAAUGAAUUUGAAUGAGGGGAGUCCUUGGAGUAAAGAUCCGGAAUCAAUCUUCACUGUUGGUUUUUCGAUCGAAUGGAGGGGAGGGAAUCAUUGUGAUGAACUUGGUGUUUACCUAUAUUUGGGGUUUCUUAGACAAGUGGUUUUACUUUAAUUUUGCAUUGUUAAUUCCAACGGUUGAUUUGAUUUUAUUUAGGGAGGGGAUGAUCAGGGUAAAGGGUAGUUUUUACAUUUGUGUUUGUGUGUCGAAUGUAUUUGGUUUCUUGUGGUGUUGGUUUUUGACCAGUUUUGUUAGUGGUGAUGAUCAAACAAGUGGGGUUUUUUGAGGGGUUUUUGGAGGAUGGGGUAGCAGUAGGUUGGGAUAGUUAACCUACUUAUGUUUGUAAGUUUUUUGCACAUGUUUUUAAUUUGAUUUGGAGAAUUUGUAGGUGAAUUAGCUGCUGCUAAUGACAAAUUGUCAUCACAGCUUAGUCAUUAUAAUACAGCAAAUAUUGUUGUUACUAAUAAUUUAAUCGAGAUCAACACGGCCGUGUUGGGCCUCUUGGGGGUGCAUAUACUUGGGCUUUAUUCGAAAGGCCCAACACGGCCGUUUUGAUAGUAGCGGGUCACGAGCCGAUGGGUAGGCGGUCUGGCCGGGCCGUGCCGGCCGAAUCGCUUGGCGACUUGAGGGGCUGAACCAGACGGGCGUUUGGUCAAAUUACAUUAAUGCCCUUGGAUCAUGGAUUCAUGGCUGGUAACCAAUUCGGCGAGCUAUUGCUUCGGAGGCGGCGUGACUGGAAAUUGGAAAAAGCCCUAACAGUGAGCAGUUAUGCGGAGCCUUUUCUGUAGGAGGCUAUGGAGUGAAAUCUCCGGCUGCAGUUUGUCGGUUGUAUCAACCAAGCCAAGAGCUUUUGCCAUUGGCGAUGGUCGUAGGGGAGGUUGCGGUGGCAGAAGAUGGUACGGGUUGAUACCUAUGGUGAUUGAGCACUCGUCUCGAGGUGAGCGAGCCUACGACAUUUUCUCUAGGCUCUUGAAGGAACGGAUCAUUUGCAUAAAUGGACCUAUCUCUGAUGAUACGGCGCACGUCGUCGUUGCGCAGCUGCUUUUCCUCGAGUCGGAGAACCCGUCCAAGCCCAUUCACGUUUACCUCAAUUCUCCCGGUGGCGCUGUCACUGCUGGUCUUGCCAUCUAUGAUUCGAUGCAGUAUAUUCGAUCCCCAGUACAUACCAUAUGUUUAGGUCAAGCUGCAUCAAUGGCCUCACUUCUCUUGGCUGCUGGCACCAAGGGUGAGAGGCGGGCCCUUCCAAAUGCCACAAUCAUGAUUCAUCAGCCUUCUGGCGGAUACAGUGGACAGGCGAAGGAUAUGACUAUUCACACCAAACAAAUUCUUCGUGUUUGGGAUUCUCUGAAUGCACUUUAUAGCAAGCACACUGGGCAGUCUGUUGAAGUAGUUCAGGAGAAUAUGGAUCGGGACCAUUUCAUGACACCUGAAGAAGCAAAGAAGUUUGGUAUAAUAGAUGAGGUUAUAGAUGAGAGGCCAAUGAACCUUGUUGCUGAUGCUGCCGCAGAUGGAGGCAAAGAUAAGACUUCAAGUUAGAUAUUAGCAUAAGUUAUUCUCAUACUCUGGAUGCAUUUAGAACAUUGUAUGGAUAAAUUCUUGGACUGUGGCGUUAUUUAACCUGAGGCCCCCGGAUAACAGAGAUCAAGCAAAUAAUUCCCUAUUUGGCAAUUGUCGCCUUAGAUAAAGAAACCACGACUGCAACGGCUGUGUCGAUACCCCUUUCUAACACAUUUGUGUCUAUGCACCGUGGCGCCAUCGCCAGCCCUAUGCAGAAAAGAGUUAACAAUGGACCUGAAUUGAUACAGAAACUGAUAAUUGAGGUAUUGAAUUAUUUUUUUAGAACUAUCCAUAUUAUAUCUGACGAGCUAUGUAUUACGCUAAUAUAUGAUCUAUAUUUUGACUGCUUUAUAUGGCUAUAGUUUUUGUCUAG